CCAGACUCCUACGGGAGGCAGCAGUGAGGAAUAUUGUUCAAUGGUCGGGAGCCUGAACCAGCCAAGCCGCGUGAGGGAAGAAGGUACAGCGUAUCGUAAACCUCUUUUGUCAGGGAACAAAGGCGGGGACUAGUCCCCGGAUGAGGGUACCUGAAGAAAAAGCAUCGGCUAACUACGUGCCAGCAGCCGCGGUAAUACGUAGGGGGCAAGCGUUAUCCGGAUUUACUGGGUGUAAAGGGGGCGCAGACGGCGAUGCAAGCCAGGAGUGAAAGCCCGGGGCCCAACCACGGGACUGCUCUUGGAACUGCGUGGCUGGAGUGCAGGAGGGGCAGGCGGAAUUCCUGGUGUAGCGGUGAAAUGAGUAGAUAUAAGGAGGAACACCGGUGGAGAAGGCGGCCUGCUGGAAUGCAACUGGAGUUGAGGCAAGAAAGAGUGGGGAGCAAACAGGAUUAGAUACCCUCGUA
rnacentral:rRNA from 1 species